UCAUAUUACUGUACUCGUAAACCAACAUUACCCUCUCCUAAAGUCUCUGUGCUCUCCCUCCCCACAGGCUUCUGUGGAUGGUGGUUCUAUCUGAUGGUGGUUCUAUGUGAUGGUGGUGGCCCCUGCAGUGGUCCUGCUGGAUGUGCCACAACCAGGCGCGGAUUGGUGGACGGUCUCCUACCGUCCUGUGAUUGGCUGCAGUACCUGCAUAUAACGGAAGCAAAGAUGGCGUCCGAGACAGAGCAGUCCAGAGCGGGGAGAACAGCAGCAGCACACAACCCUCGUCCUCCUCCUCUCCCGAACAGCCAUCUGUGUUAUAUUGUGAAGCCUGUGAAGUAUGCCGUAUUUCUUUUGAGUUGGUUUUCUCCUGUUUUUAAAGUUGAUAGGUAGAUAAGACUGGUGUCAUUAUUUUUCUCCUUUGUUUUGGUAGGUCAGCAUC
ensembl:lncRNA